GACGGAGGGUGCAAGCGUUGCUCGGAAUUAUUGGGCGUAAAGGGUAGGUAGGUGGUCUCAUUUGUCUGGGGUGAAAGCCUUGAGCUUAACUCAAGAAGUGCCCCAGAAACGGUGAGACUGGAGUCCUGGAGAGGGUCGUGGAAUUCCCGGUGUAGCGGUGAAAUGCGUAGAGAUCGGGAGGAACACCAGAGGCGAAAGCGGCGACCUGGACAGGUACUGACACUCAACUACGAAAGCGUGGGGAGCAAACAGG
rnacentral:rRNA from 1 species